rnacentral:rRNA from 1 species
UACGGGGGGGGCAAGCGUUGUUCGGAAUUACUGGGCGUAAAGGGCUCGUAGGUGGCCAACUAAGUCAGACGUGAAAUCCCUCGGCUUAACCGGGGAACUGCGUCUGAUACUGGUUGGCUUGAGUUUGGGAGAGGGAUGCGGAAUUCCAGGUGUAGCGGUGAAAUGCGUAGAUAUCUGGAGGAACACCGAUGGCGAAGGCAGCCAUCUGGACCGACACUGACGCUGAGGCGCGAAAGCGUGGGGAGCAAACAGG